AAAUUUUAGUGUUUAAACAGUGUAAAGUUUAGGUAGAAAGGGCUCACAGGAGAGAGUGACCACCUCUUGGGAUAAUAGAAUGGGGGGCAGGGGUGUUUGAAUCGCCACUAUCCUGUUUUCCUUCUUUAAAAAAAAAAAAAGAAAGCCCUAAAGCAGAUGUACUAAAAUGGUAACAUGUUCACCUUAGUGUUUAGGAUGUAGACCGGCAGUCUCCUGGUGGGGCAGCCCCCGUUUGAUUUGACACGGGGACAGGCCACACUCGAGUUACACACAGUCA
rnacentral:lncRNA from 1 species